rnacentral:rRNA from 1 species
UACGGAGGGUGCAAGCGUUAUCCGGAUUCACUGGGUUUAAAGGGUGCGUAGGCGGGUAGGUAAGUCCGUGGUGAAAUCUCUGAGCUUAACUCAGAAACUGCCAUGGAUACUAUUUGCCUUGAAUAUUGUGGAGGUGAGCGGAAUAUGUCAUGUAGCGGUGAAAUGCUUAGAUAUGACAUAGAACACCAAUUGCGAAGGCAGCUCACUACACAAAUGAUUGACGCUGAGGCACGAAAGCGUGGGGAUCAAACAGG